UACGUAGGGGGCAAGCGUUGUCCGGAUUUAUUGGGCGUAAAGAGCGUGUAGGCGGCCAGACAGGUCCACUGUGAAACUCGAGGCUCAACCUCGAGAGGUCGGUGGAAACCGUCUGGCUAGAGUCCGGAAGAGGAGAGUGGAAUUCCCGGUGUAGCGGUGAAAUGCGUAGAUAUCAGGAGGAAUACCGGUGGUGUAGACGGCUCUCUGGACCGCCACUGACGCUGAGACACGAAAGCGUGGGGAGCAAACAGG
rnacentral:rRNA from 1 species